rnacentral:rRNA from 1 species
UACGUAGGGGGCAAGCGUUAUCCGGAUUUACUGGGUGUAAAGGGAGCGUAGACGGCAAUGCAAGUCUGGAGUGAAAGGCGGGGGCCCAACCCCCGGACUGCUCUGGAAACUGUAUAGCUGGAGUGCAGGAGAGGUAAGUGGAAUUCCUAGUGUAGCGGUGAAAUGCAUAGAUAUCACGCAGAACUCCGAUUGCGAAGGCAGCGUACCGGCAUCCAACUGACGCUGAGGCACGAAAGCGUGGGGAUCAAACAGG